CAUAGUUUAAAAUGGCAAAAAUUUAGGUUGUCUUUCCGAGGCAUUCUGUAUUUCAUCGGGGCCUUUAACCUGCAUUUAAGAGCCAGUUUGAUACAACCGCUGACUGUACGCAGGCUGCGACAUGGAGAAAGCAGGCCCUGCCACACAGAGGGGUUUCGCAGUUCUCUGCGGGAAGGCCGGCGUCCACGGAGGCCCAGCCCACCUCGGCCAUGCCACAGCCCAGGCCCCGGCCUGGCCACCACGGCACUGGCAGCAUUUGGGUCACAAAGGGCCUUUUCCUGCUGCACUGUGUCACAUCACUUCACUUCCCCAACUGUGUUAUGGUUAUGGAUCCUCCCACCAGUGAGGAUCCACCAGUGCUUCUGUCAGGCUCCCCCAGCGCCCCACAUCUAUGGCUGUGGUAACAACCUCACUGGGGGCCAUGUGGGGCUUCACCUCCACCUGCUGCUGAGCAGUGGUGGGGAGAUGGCAGAAGCCCUCACUUCACAGGCCCACACUCAUGGAGGCAUUCAUUUGAGGGGAUGACCUGAACCUCAUGACGAUCAACUGGGAGAUGCCUUCUGGUACCUUUAUUGGGUCAGGGUCCGAGCACUCACCACCACCUUCUGCAGUGUCACCUCUGAGCCACACCUGGGACACCUCCUGAUAAAUGCUGGUGGCUUUAUUACAGCAAGCUGAAAGGACAAAAUUAUUGUCCAAUAUUGGAGGACUGCACCAACAGCUGGCAAGUAGGGCUAGCUGCAGAACGGCCAUAGUAGCAAUUACUCCACAGAGACGUUGCAACAACUCCACCUCACAUCACCUUAAGGCCUUCUGAGGCCACGUUCAGCUGUCCUUAUGGCAGUUGUCUGACCUUUACUCAGUGCAGGAGUCAGAAUCUCACCCUCUGUGAAUAGGCUUUAUAUUAACAUUUACUGUGUGCACCUUAAAAUAUUAAAAUGUAAUCACGGGUUUCCAGACCAGGACGAGGGUUGGGGUUUUUUUUCCUGCUCACUCAAAAAGCACUGAAGUCCCAGAAGACGCUGUAAAAAUAUGUGGCACUCCACAGCACCGAUGGCCAACACAAGCAUUUUCUAAAUUGCUUGCCUAUCAAAAUCAUAUUUGAAAUUGUGUUCUGUAAGUAUGAGCAAAAUUUACAUUACAAAAGAUGCAGUAUGACAUCGAAAAAGAGUUACUACAACUGUUCUAAAACACUGUAAUGUGGUAAAG
rnacentral:lncRNA from 1 species